UAAACGGCCCUUUUCAGGGCCAACGAAUUUAUAGAAAGUUAAAUAA
rfam:Trachymyrmex cornetzi contig23671, whole genome shotgun sequence.